GAUGAACGUUGGCGGCGUGCCUAACACAUGCAAGUCGAACGAUAGUCGCAAGACUAUAGUGGCGCACGGGUGAGUAACACGUAGCUUACCAGCCUCUCAGCGCGGGAUAACGGCUCGAAAGAGGUGCUAAUACCGCAUAAGCUCACGGGAUGUAGAGACUAGUGAGAAAAGGUGCAAAUCACUGAGAGACGGGGGCUGCGGCCCAUCAGCUAGNGGUGCGGUAACGGCGCACCAAGGCGACGACGGGUAGGGGACCUGAGAGGGU
rnacentral:rRNA from 1 species